rnacentral:rRNA from 1 species
AUGCUGGACAGCAGAUACGCUUUGACACCGUGGGCUUUAAGCGACCAGCUGCCGGAGACGAUGUCACAUUUGCUGCUUGGAUGUGUCGUUGCGCGGGAGGUAUGGCAUUCCGUCUUCCGCAAAUGGCAGCAUCUGGAGUGGGCGCCUGACCGCGACGAGCAGCUGAUUUGCAUGGCGAACGACGCGCUCAACGCGACGGAGGGACAUAAGAGACAUGUGGACAGCCAUCAUGUUGGUGUUCUGGUGCAUCUGUCUGGCAGCACCGCGAACGAUGUGAUUGUCAAUGGUGUGGAGGUUUCAGGAGGCAUUGUUUUCUAUACCUACAAAGAAGAGAACCUUGACAUCUUGUCUUCAGGAACUGAGUUUAGCUUUGACAGAUUGUUGUGUAACUGUGCCACUGUUCAACUCUGA